CCAAUAGCGUAUAUUAAAGUUGUUGCAGUUAAAAAGCUCGUAGUUGAAUUUCGGGACCAAUCUGCCGGUCGUGCCUCCGGUACGCACUGGUUUUAUUGGUUUCUCCCUUCUGACGAACCAUGAUGUCAUUAAUUUGGUGUCAUGGGGAAUCAGGACUGUUACUUUGAAAAAAUUAGAGUGUUUAUAGCAGGCUCACGCUUGAAUACAUUAGCAUGGAAUAAUGAAAUAGGACGUUUGACCCUAUUUUGUUGGUUUCUAGGAUCGACGUAAUGAUUAAUAGGGAUAGUUGGGGGAAUUAGUAUUCAAUUGUCAGAGGUGAAAUUCUUGGAUUUAUUGAAGACUAACUACUGCGAAAGCAUUUGCCAAGGAUGUUUUCAUUAAUCAAGAACGAAAGUUAGGGGAUCGAAGACGAUCAGAUACCGUCGUAGUCUUAACCAUAAACUAUGCCGACUAGGGAUCGGAUGAUGUUAAUUUUUUAAUGACUCAUUCGGCGCCUUACG
rnacentral:misc_RNA from 1 species